AUGUAUGAAUUUUCAAUACAUGUCGGGACUGCAAGCAACCCCUUCAACUGUAUGAUAAGAAUAUGGAUACUGAGUGCUUUCCCCUCAGCCACCACAGCAUCCGUCUCCCUGUCGCCCAUGCAGCCGAGUCGCACACCAGGAAGGAAAGGGAAGCGAACACGUCGUUUGCAUAGCUGGGUGGGUACAGACAGAUACAUGAGAAAUGUCCUGCAACUGAAGGAGUUCAUCCAGUGUGCGACUUUAAUGAGGACUAGUCAGCGUGGUUGUACAGUAUUCAUACCCAGUCAAGAAUUAAAUAUUGAUUGAUAGAGGGGAUUUGAUAUACACUAGAUACUAAUUCAUGCAGUGGUAUGAAUAGGUUAUGAUAUACUUCUGAGAUUACAGUUGAUAAAAUAGCAAUAGCACUGUACUGUAGUUCCCAUAUACAGUGCAUUCGGGAAAGUAUUCAGACCCCCCCAC
rnacentral:lncRNA from 8 species